AAUUGCUCAGCUGCCAGAGAAGUGACUGGAAUAGAGGUUGUAGGUUAGGCACCGCUGCUCCCUCCAGUCCCUCCGUGCAGCCGAUGAUGGCCCUAUGGUCCCUGCUCCAUCUCACCUUCCUGGGGUUCAGCAUUACCUUGCUGUUGGUCCAUGGGCAGGGCUUCCAAGGGACAGCAGCCAGUAGGUGGAGGGCAAGGUCAUAAGCUUUGGGAUUUGGGCCCUAGGGCACCUGAGUGACCUUGACUUUUCUCUCUCAGUCUGGCCAUCCCUCUUCAACGUCAACUUGUCCAAGAAGGUUCAGGAAAGCAUCCAGAUCCCGAACAAUGGGAGUGCGCCCCUGCUCGUGGAUGUGCAGGUGUUUGUCUCCAACGUGUUUAAUGUGGACAUCCUGCGAUACACAAUGUCCUCCAUGCUGCUGCUUAGGCUGUCCUGGCUGGACACUCGCCUGGCCUGGAACACUAGUGCACACCCGCGGCACGCCAUCACGCUGCCCUGGGAGUCUCUCUGGACACCAAGGCUCACCAUCCUGGAGGCGUAAGUGAGACAGUUCCUGCCCCAGGAAUCUGCCGUGCAUAGCCCUCCUUUU
rnacentral:sRNA from 1 species